CCCGUUUCACUGUUGGCAUGGUGGCACGUGGCACUGGAUCUUUCUGUUUCACAAUUCGCAUGCUUGCAGGUGGUGUUGGAUCUUUUUGUUUCACAAUUGGCAUGCUUGCAGGUGGUGUUGGAUCUUUUUGUUUCACAAUUGGCAUGCUUGCAGGUGUUGGAUCUUUUUGCUUAACCGGCGGUAACCUGAUGCGAAGGAUCGAACCUUCACGAGAAAAAUAAUAUCAGCACCUACAUAAGAUUGGUACAAGCUCACCUAGAACACAACAAUUAUGGAGCCUGAUAUGAAUGGAAAAAA
rnacentral:lncRNA from 1 species